GUCUGCCUACGGGGCGCAGCAGUGAGGGAUAUUGGUCAAUGGGGGAAACCCUGAACCAGCAACGCCGCGUGAGGGAAGACGGUUUUCGGAUUGUAAACCUCUGUCCUCUGUGAAGAUAAUGACGGUAGCAGAGGAGGAAGCUCCGGCUAACUACGUGCCAGCAGCCGCGGUAAUACGUAGGGAGCGAGCGUUGUCCGGAUUUACUGGGUGUAAAGGGUGCGUAGGCGGGUAAG
rnacentral:rRNA from 1 species